UACGUAGGGGGCAAGCGUUGUCCGGAUUUAUUGGGCGUAAAGGGCGCGUAGGCGGUCAGCACAAGUCAAUUGUGAAAUCUCCGGGCUUAACUCGGAAAGGUCAACUGAUACUGCGGGGCUAGAGUGCGGAAGGGGCAACUGGAAUUCUCGGUGUAGCGGAUGAAUGCGUAGAUAUCGAGAGGAACACCUGCGGCGAAGGCGGGUUGCUGGGCCGACACUGAC
rnacentral:rRNA from 1 species